GCGGAGGGUCUGCUGCAGGGUUUCUGCUGAUGCGAGCGCAUUGCAGCUGAACACAUGUGUUUGUGUUAAAACCAUGGACUACUGAAACACACCUGCCUGGUCGCGUGUGUGUGUGUGUGAGCGUACAAACAACAUCCGCAUUCACAUCCAGGACUGAAGCUAUGCUACAAGCCCGUGGAGAAUGUCAGCCCUGAAAAAGGUGUUACCAUGGAUACUGCAGACACAUUGCUGCCUUUUC
ensembl:processed_transcript